CUCAUGUGCACAUCAUGGGUGCGACGCAUGUACAUGUAGCCUCACAAUCAAAAUUCAGCACGUGUAUUUGGUUCACCCACAAGUCAAAAGUCGGGCACGAUGCCUUAUGUAGCAAUUAAAAUAUUUUAUGUUUUGAGGUUGCGGGCUGAGGAAGCCAAGGUUUUGCUCUCUGCAUGCAUAGCUGCCAGUGACAGAUCAGGCAGGCCAUGUUGCAGAGCAAAGCCCCUGGCACACUGAGUGAUGCAUAGAAUUCCUACAGCACCCCAACCUUGUGCAAAACUGCUUCAGGCGCUGUUAGCCAGGUUGUCCAUAAAACGCUUCAUGCUGCUCAGUGCAAUAGAUAUUUGCCCCCUGGUCUCAUUAUGGAUGCAGAGGAUCGCAUGGUCCAUGAACAUCGUCAGCCAGAAGGCGACCUGCCGCUCCAUAGGCUGGACCCACAGCCUCAGGAGCAUGUGAUGGACGUCCUGCUUGCAGAGCGCUCUGUGAUGACCACACCUGCUUGAAUGUCCUCCUGCUGCACAAAGGGCAACAUCAGCUCCAUCUGCCACUGGAUGCAUUUCACUCCCAACUCCCAGUUCCGUUUGGUGUUGGGCCCAAGGAAGAAGGUAGUGCCGGCCGUCCUACGCACAUUCAGCAUCCGCUGCACCUCAUGCAGCAAGGCCUGCAUUGCGUUCGGCAAGAUGAAGGGCAAAACAGUACAAAUGCUCAGUAACUUCUCAAAUCAGGGUCCAUCAGACCAGCCAUUGGGCUGCUCAGCUGUCGAAAGGCAGCAAGCGAUUCACAGCAGAUAGAGCAGCAUGUAAACAAGACUGACUGUGUCAGUGGGACAAUGCCACACUACCUACUAUACCAUAAGAUUCCCCCCAACAACAGCGCUGACGUCGGUGGCUGUAGCAACUAGGCACACUUGCGUCGGCUGCAAGUGUGCCUAGGCCUGUGCCAAAGCCUGUGCCAAAGCCUGUGCCAAGCUUGCUGCCACACAUUUGGGAAGCCAACCCACCUUCUCGGCUCUUU
rnacentral:lncRNA from 1 species